rnacentral:rRNA from 1 species
UACGUAGGGGGCAAGCGUUGUCCGGAUUUAUUGGGCGUAAAGAGCGUGUAGGCGGCCAGGUAGGUCGGUUGUGAAAACUGGAGGCUUAACCUCCAGACGUCGACCGAAACCAUCUGGCUAGAGUCCGGAAGAGGAGAGUGGAAUUCCUGGUGUAGCGGUGAAAUGCGCAGAUAUCAGGAAGAACACCCGUGGCGAAGGCGGCUCUCUGGGCCGAUACUGACGCUGAGGAGCGAAAGCGUGGGGAGCGAACAGG